rnacentral:tRNA from 1 species
GGGGCCCUAGCUCAACUGGCAGAGCACUGCCUUUGCAAGGCAGGGGUUAGGGGUUCAAGUCCCCUGGGCUCCACCG